UACACUCCUACGGGAGGCAGCAGUGGGGAAUUUUGGACAAUGGGCGAAAGCCUGAUCCAGCAAUGCCGCGUGAGUGAAGAAGGCCUUCGGGUUGUAAAGCUCUUUUGUCAGGGAAGAAACGGUGAAAGCUAAUAUCUUUUGCUAAUGACGGUACCUGAAGAAUAAGCACCGGCUAACUACGUGCCAGCAGCCGCGGUAAUACGUAGGGUGCAAGCGUUAAUCGGAAUUACUGGGCGUAAAGCGUGCGCAGGCGGUUUUGUAAGUCUGAUGUGAAAUCCCCGGGCUCAACCUGGGAAUUGCAUUGGAGACUGCAAGGCUAGAAUCUGGCAGAGGGGGGUAGAAUUCCACGUGUAGCAGUGAAAUGCGUAGAUAUGUGGAGGAACACCGAUGGCGAAGGCAGCCCCCUGGGUCAAGAUUGACGCUCAUGCACGAAAGCGUGGGGAGCAAACAGGAUUAGAUACCCUGGUAGUCCCAUGA
rnacentral:rRNA from 1 species